CGGGAUCGCGAGCGUUGUGAGCCAUCGUAUUGCCUCCGGGAGUACGCUGCCCCUCUGAGGGGAGCAGCUUGCAGGUGUGUGGUGCUGUCCGGCCUGGUGCCGCUGGAAGGUACAGCUAGGGAGGCACUCCUUGUCCUCUGGACUGCAGAUUAACUAUAGCACAGCGCACUUCCAGACCUAGGUAGUUGGCUAGUCGCUAGAAGAUGCGCUGAAAAGCAUGCUGACCUUGAGGAACAAAAGUCACCAGGAGCACAGAAGGGAGGUUGCCUUUGCUUUAUAAUUUGCACAAUUUUCAACAAGUUGCCAACACCUGCCUGUGAUUCAUGACUACUGUGUGUGUCACGACCCACUCUUUCAGCAACACUGCCCUGAUCCAUCCCCCUAACCAUAAUGAUGAACAGUAAUAACUGGCUAAUUCCAGUAUUGGUGAUUUACAGUCAUCAACAGUAUUUCCCAAAUUACAACAUGACAGCAAACAAGAGUAAUAUUCCUUCUAAGAGAUAUAUUUGCCUGUAAUGACCUGAAUACUUGAGGUCUAAGUGAGCUCUUGGACAUCUUUUGGUUAACUGGGACAUACCAAAAACUGGAAAGAUCAGCCAAAUCUUUAAAGAUGAGUUUGUUCAAAAGGACAAAAAGAAAAGUAAAAUGACUGCUAGUACCACAUGAUGAUAGCUAGUUAAAGGCAUUGUCUAAAUGCACAGCAUGUACUCCUGCCAAUUCAAAGACAAACAAAAUAAAAAAAACCCUGAAAUAUUUGUGGACAUUCUUAUUUACUUAAUUCUGUAUUUUAAAUUAAUUCAAUAGAGUGUCAAGCAAUUAAACCACAGCAAUCUACAACACUGUAAUAAUUUCCCCAGGGAAACAACAUUAUAUAAAACAGGGAGGAGAGGGGAGAGAAUGUUUUACAAGGAAAAAAAAGCCUCAAAAUGAAGUGACAGAAUCAGCUUGCUACCUUUGCUGAACUGUCAUAUUUAUGUAGCUACAAAUAUGUGAAGGAUUCACCAACAGGACUGCCUCAGAAGAGGGAAUAGCCAAGAUGUGUACCUUGCUGUGGGCUAUUUGGGAUGUUAGUGGUUCAAAGGGCUCCUAACCCAGAGAGGGUCGCUGUCCCAGGUCUUCUGGAAACACUGGCCAAUCUCUGUAGGGAAACCUCCCAAGACAAAAGGUGGCUGUAAAAUACUUCAAUAUAAGGUACCCCAUCAGUGUCUUGAUUAUCUGAGGCUAACUAUUUCCCUAUACUACUAAUAAAACAAUGGAAAUUGUUUUUAGCAUGCAGCAGGCCACGUGCAAGGAAGCCUACGCUUCAAUCAGUGCAGCAUGUUGUGAAGUCUGAGCAGCCUUGCCUAUACUAGGGAGCCUGUAAAAUAUGUUAGAUAUCCUUACCAACUUUAAUCCUUAACAUUUUAUCUGGGUUAGCAACUUCUAAAGUGUACUAGGUACACUGGUCAAAUAAUUUGUUGAACCUAUGACUCCUCAAAGGUUGAGUACAUUUGUAUCCUGGAUCAAGCAUUGGAGGAGCAACUGAAUCUGGAUGGUCCAAAUCUGACUAGUAAUCAGUUAUGUCAAAGUAAUAAAAACAGAUGUAUCUUGAAAGUGCUUCACGGAGUCCUUUGAUGUGUCCUUUAGUAAACACAAUAGGCCAAAUUAAGUACUGCUGAAAACUGCUGUAAGAGCUUGGUCAUUUUCAGUAACAGUGUAACUCCUACAGACUUAGUAUGCAGUCUGAACACAGCCUGGGGGGUCAAAAAACAGGUAUAACAAGGAAAAGCAACCACCUCUAAAGGGAUGGGUGAAAGUAGGUCACCAUUAAACACCUUUUUGAAGAGAACUCCAACGGAUGUACCCUGGCCCACCAAAACUGAUACAACUCUGGUUUGUUACAGAGAGGGGUUCCACCUGCUGAAUUCAGCCCGUGUUAUCUUAUUUUAGCAACUGUGAUUAAUUAUGCUGCCCUUCACAACCCUAUUUUAAGAUGCUAUUUUGCCGCGUAUGUUUAAAUUAUCUGUGUUUAUUCAGGAAUGUAAAGAAUUCAUGUGAAAGAAGAAAACAAAGACAGUAACUGCACGCCAACAAAAGUUUUCGUUUUUCAAAGUUGGCACUGCAAUUAUGCUGUGCACAUGCUCAUCUGACUUUCAUGCUUCAAUAUCCAUAGAGCUGAAUCAGCACAGAAAAUGAACAUUCUUGUUGACGCAAACUGCUGCUGACUUGAAAGGAAUAUCUUUUUCAUUUAGAUCAAAUGGCAGUUUUGCUGGGAAAAAAAUGAAUACUCUGUAUGAAUAGUAAUAAAUAUCCUGCAGCAGUUUUCAGAGAUUUUGUUGUUUAGGCCUGUGAAAAUAGCAUCAUGCAUUUUAUGUUGUCAAAACUUUCUUCUUGUCAAAUACUUCUUAUUUUCUGUAAGGAUCUCAAGAGCAAAAUCUUCUCUAACUGAAAGAACACUAUGCUGUCACUGAGGCUAAACAGUGAAGUGCCAGACAAAAUCCUGACGACUGGAAGAUUUUGUUGGGAACUUUUGUCUGCUGAUGUCAAUGUAAGUUACUGAAAUAUUUUACAUCCUUGCGAAAUCCCACGUGACCUCGUGCAAGCUGCAGAACCUUAGCAUUAUGCAACAAAGCACUCAAGCUUUUCACUGAGACUCAUACGUGGACGUAAACAUUAGAUCUUACAACUCCCUACAUAAAGUAGCAACCCUAAAAUGGAUUAAUGCAGGGACUUGGUGUCUUGCCCCAUGACCUAGCAGUGAAACAAGAGCACAACUGUACAAAACAAACAUGUGGAAUAGCUUAUUAAUUAUUUCAGAAUGUCAGAGAAGCUCUUGAAAAAACUAUGGAAUUGCCAAGUUAGAAUAUUGAGACAAAGUUACUUUUUACCUAAUAUUCCUUAGAAAGCUAACUACUACCCAACAUACUGACACUGGGCUGGACUUCAGAUGCAAAAGGGUUUUGCUACCUCUUCUUCUUAACAGGAGUGAUAUGGCCCCAGUGUAAAAGCCAGGGAACUGAGCACACAGUACAAAGGCUGUAACUAUGAUCUUGCUGUCCUUGAAAGGGAGAAGCCCCAGCUACACAGGAAGGGCUGCUGGUCUUUCGUAUUUAAAGCACAGAUAGGUGAAACUCAAUGACAUCCCUAAACCUGUUUUUUUCUUCCACUGUCAUGUAAUGGCAUGUGUGUUAGCAAAUUCAGCUUUUUUAUUUCUUGUGUUAAAAAAACUAAUGGAACAGUCUUAUCAGCUUUCUUCUGUGAUCUGUUUGUGGUCUGCACUGAAUCAAAAGGGCCCCCAACAGGGUGAGUUUUGGCCAGAUUAAAGAGGGAUUUGACUGCAAACUUGAUUUAUGAUAAUUAAAGGAAAAACAAGUUGGACAGGAUGCUAAAAUUUGAGGCCUGGUAAUACACGCAAACGGGGGGAAGUUGUUGUUGUUCAUCUUCUUGGCACUUUGCUUUCCAGCAGCAGAAGCUGUUGUUUUGUCUCCUCCAAACAAGAACUAAUGAUCUACUGGAUGGACUAGUAAGAGUGCCUUGCUUUUGCUGAAGUAAUUUUUUUUCCUUAGGUAAAAAGGAGUUGUUUGUUUUUUUUGACACACUUUGCAUCUUGUUUCUCUCUUUCCUCUGUUUUUAAAGCAUCCUGUAUGGAAUGCUGCUUGGUGUCCAGGGUGCUUGGUUGCUCUAGCUGUUUUGAAGACAGGUCGAGUAGCAUGCUCAGAAUGUAAAAAAGGCUGCUCUGGUGCAAGUGGAAGUGAAAAACUGACAUUCAUGUGCGAGCAUACUACACUAACCUUCAAACUAAGGCUGGUCUGCUCCUCCCUCAAGCCCCCUUGAAGCUGAAGUGCUAUGACAACAUAUCAAGGCAAUCUCCACUCAUGCUUGCUCUGCUGGACCAUCACAAAGCAGCUGAAAUGUACUAGCCAAUUCAACCUUUGGAGGUUAUUGGCCAAGUGGCUGCACAGGACUCUGUAAUGCCAUACUUGAUAAAGAAAACAAAAUUUAAGGAGGCAGGUCAAGUGAGCUGGUCUGUUCUCAGUAUUUCUGUGCAAACUGUUUCUUACCGUGCCACACAUAUACUGAGCUAUUUCACAGAAUAAACCACUGAACAUCUAACCCAACUUUACUACUGUAUGAGGAUUAGCAUGCUAAUAUCUCUCUUCAGCCACUUCUGAGGAUUAGCUUCAAAAAUCAAAUUAAAAUGAGGCAAACCCAAAUAGACUGGGUAGUUCCACAAUAAGGUGCAAUGCUCAUAUUCAGUAACCAUCAUCUGUGCCUCUUGCAUCUAAUAUUAUUGUGUGCAAGUAGCAUUAUAGUACACCUGCUGUGUGUGGUAAAGGUGAGAAACUCUGUGUAUGGCCCAUCAGUAUAUUAAAGUCACUAAGCCUUAA